AUGAACGCUGGCGGCGUGCCUAAUACCUGCAAGUUGAGCGAACAGACGAGGAGCUUGCUCCUCUGACGUUAUCGGCGGACGGGUGAGUAACACGUGGAUAACCUACCUAUAAGACUGGGAUAACUUCGGGAAACCGGAGCUAAUACCGGAUAAUAUAUUGACCCGCAUGUUUCAAUAGUGAAAGACGGUUUUGCUGUCACUUAUAGAUGGAUCCUCGCCGCAUUAGCUAGUUGGUAAGGUAACGGCUUACCAAGGCAACGAUGCGUAGCCGACCUGAGAGGGUGAUCGGCCACACUGGAGCUGAGACACGGACCAGACGCCUACGAGAGGCAGCAGUAGGGAAUCUUCCGCAAUGGGCGAAAGCCUGACAGAGCAACGCCGCGUGAGUGAUGAAGGUCUUCGGAUCGUAAAACUCUGUUAUUAGGGAAGAACAAAUGUGUAAGUAACUAUGCACGUCUUGACGGUACCUAAUCAGGAAGCCACGGCUAACUACGUG
rnacentral:rRNA from 1 species